rnacentral:rRNA from 1 species
UACGUAGGGUGCGAGCGUUGUCCGGAAUUAUUGGGCGUAAAGGGCUCGUAGGUGGUUUGUCGCGUUGUUCGUGAAAACCGGGGGCUUAACCCUCGGCGUGCGGGCGAUACGGGCAGACUGGAGUACUGCAGGGGAGACUGGAAUUCCUGGUGUAGCGGUGGAAUGCGCAGAUAUCAGGAGGAACACCGGUGGCGAAGGCGGGUCUCUGGGCAGUAACUGACGCUGAGGAGCGAAAGCGUGGGGAGCGAACAGG